rnacentral:rRNA from 1 species
UACGUAGGGCGCAAGCGUUGUCCGGAAUUAUUGGGCGUAAAGAGCUCGUAGGCGGCCUGUCGCGUCUGCUGUGAAAUCCCGGGGCUCAACCCCGGGCCUGCAGUGGAUACGGGCUGGCUGGAGGCAGGCAGGGGAGAACGGAAUUCCUGGUGUAGCGGUGAAAUGCGCAGAUAUCAGGAGGAACACCGGUGGCGAAGGCGGUUCUCUGGGCCUUACCUGACGCUGAGGAGCGAAAGCGUGGGGAGCGAACAGG